ACUGCAGUCGAGCGGACAGAAGGGAGCUUGCUCCCGGAUGUUAGCGGCGGACGGGUGAGUAACACGUGGGUAACCUGCCUGUAAGACUGGGAUAACUCCGGGAAACCGGAGCUAAUACCGGAUAGUUCCUUGAACCGCAUGGUUCAAGGAUGAAAGACGGUUUCGGCUGUCACUUACAGAUGGACCCGCGGCGCAUUAGCUAGUUGGUGGGGUAAUGGCUCACCAAGGCGACGAUGCGUAGCCGACCUGAGAGGGUGAUCGGCCACACUGGGACUGAGACACGGCCCAGACUCCUACGGGAGGCAGCAGUAGGGAAUCUUCCGCAAUGGACGAAAGUCUGACGGAGCAACGCCGCGUGAGUGAUGAAGGUUUUCGGAUCGUAAAGCUCUGUUGUUAGGGAAGAACAAGUGCGAGAGUAACUGCUCGCACCUUGACGGUACCUAACCAGAAAGCCACGGCUAACUACGUGCCAGCAGCCGCGGUAAUACGUAGGUGGCAAGCGUUGUCCGGAAUUAUUGGGCGUAAAGGGCUCGCAGGCGGUUUCUUAAGUCUGAUGUGAAAGCCCCCGGCUCAACCGGGGAGGGUCAUUGGAAACUGGGAAACUUGAGUGCAGAAGAGGAGAGUGGAAUUCCACGUGUAGCGGUGAAAUGCGUAGAGAUGUGGAGGAACACCAGUGGCGAAGGCGACUCUCUGGUCUGUAACUGACGCUGAGGAGCGAAAGCGUGGGGAGCGAACAGGAUUAGAUACCCUGGUAGUCCACGCCGUAAACGAUGAGUGCUAAGUGUUAGGGGGUUUCCGCCCCUUAGUGCUGCAGCUAACGCAUUAAGCACUCCGCCUGGGGAGUACGGUCGCAAGACUGAAACUCAAAGGAAUUGACGGGG
rnacentral:rRNA from 1 species